CAAUUAACUAUACAGCAGAAAUAACACACGAAUUGCAGGAUUCUCAUAGUCUUUAAGGACAGCCUUAGUACCAUCCGCUACAAUCCAUAUCAACUUUCGAUGCAACUUUCUGCGCCUACCAUGGUGACCACGGGUAACGGGGAAUCAGGGUUCGAUUCCGGAGAGGGAGCCUGAGAAAUGGCUACCACAUGCAAGGAAGACAG